rnacentral:rRNA from 1 species
UCCCAGACUCCUACGGGAGGCAGCAGUGAGGAAUAUUGGUCAAUGGGCUUACGCCUGAACCAGCCAAGUCGCGUGAGGGAAGACUGCCCUAUGGGUUGUAAACCUCUUUUGUCAGGGAGCAAUUGGCGCUACGUGUAGCGUUAUCGAGAGUACCCGAAGAAAAAGCAUCGGCUAACUCCGUGCCAGCAGCCGCGGUAAUACGGGGGAUGCAAGCGUUAUCCGGAUUUAUUGGGUUUAAAGGGUGCGUAGGCUGUGAGGUAAGUCAGCGGUGAAAUGCCCCCGCUCAACGGGGUGAAGUGCCAUUGAUACUGCCUUGCUGGAAUGCGGAUGCCGUGGGAGGAAUGUGUGGUGUAGCGGUGAAAUGCAUAGAUAUCACACAGAACACCGAUUGCGAAGGCAUCUCACGAAUCCGCGAUUGACGCUGAUGCACGAAAGCGUGGGUAUCAAACAGGAUUAGAUACCCCAGUAGC